rnacentral:tRNA from 1 species
UGGGAUGUAGUUCAAUGGUAGAACACUUGCUUAUCAUGUGCAAGGACCUGGGUUCAAUCCCCAGUAACACAC